rnacentral:pre_miRNA from 1 species
ACCCCGCAGGCUGGCCCGCCCCCAGGCGGGGCUGGGCGAGUAUCUCUUGGAAAGGCUCACCCUCAGGCCUUUGGGG